rnacentral:misc_RNA from 1 species
AACCUUAUGGACCUGCGGGCGUAUACCUGCGGAAGGAUCAUUAUAGAGUUUUCUAAACUCCCAAACCCAUGUGAACUUACCAUUGUUGCCUCGGCAGAGCCUACCCGGUACCUACCCUGGAACUAGCUACCCUGUAGCUACCCAGGAACGGGCUACCCUGUAACGUCCUGCCGGUGGACUUCUAAACUCUUGUUAUUUAUAGUAAUCUGAGCGUCUUAUUUUAAUAAGUCAAAACUUUUA